AAGGUCAACGGAGCAAGGUGAGGCUGCGACCUCAGCCUCUGUCUUGGUCUGAAUGGUCACACAUGGUGCAAGACAGAGGAGAAUCAUGGCAUUCAUUUUCGCAUGCUGAUCCCUGGCACAUUCAUGUGAAACUCUGGUGUUAUGCUGAGACGAAUUUUUUUAAGGAUUUUAACAAAAAUUGCUUCAGUUCUUUUGAGUUAAAGAAAAGCUUUUUAAAAAGAAUUUCUACGAUAAAAAUAAAAAUAUUGCCACUCUUCCAAACACAACUCAGAAACAGCUUAACCUUGAAACUCAGUAUGUAAUAUUCACCAAAGAGCAUGUCAUACCUAUGCUUGGAGGCCAAAACACUCUGUAUAUAAGUGAGGACUGUGCCCUAGGCAGACAAAGAAGAGGGCACUUUUCAAUGGAUGUCAGUGGGCACCAGGCCACUUCAGAGACUUAGAGCAGCUUAAGACUUUAUGCCACUAUAAGUUCGUAAAGCAGCUUAGAGGGUGUUUUUAGCCCUUUCCUCUUUUAAGGACCUAGGAAAUUAAAAGCAAAACCAUUGUCAAUACAACAUGAAGGUUGAAAAAUUAAACUAAAAGGUCAUAAGCAGUGUUGCCAA